CACUAAGAAGCUAAACAGGUACCAUAGCGUUAGCCUUUUAAGCUAAAAACUGGUGACUACCGACCACCCUCAGUGA
rnacentral:tRNA from 1 species